AAUUGGAGAGUUUGAUCCUGGCUCAGAGCGAACGCUAGCGGCGCGCUUAACACAUGCAAGUCGCACGAGAAAGAGGGGCAACCCUUGAGUAAAGUGGCGCACGGGUGAGUAACACGUGGGUAAUCUACCCCCGAGACUGGAAUAACCCGCCGAAAGGUGGGCUAAUACCGGAUAAGACCACGGGACACAAGUUCUGCGGUCAAAGGCGGGUCGGCAACGGCCUGUUACUUGGGGAUGAGCCCGCGUCCCAUCAGCUAGUUGGUAAGGUAACGGCUUACCAAGGCUAAGACGGGUAGCUGGUCUUAGAGGACGAUCAGCCACACUGGCACUGAAACACGGGCCAGACUCCUACGGGAGGCAGCAGUGGGGAA
rnacentral:rRNA from 1 species